GCUAAGGUAUAAAAAUUUAUCGUCAAUUAAAUAAUGAAAUAUAAGGAUAUAGGACAUUUCUCUUAACAAAAUUUACCUCUUAAGACAGAAUUUUAAAUCUGAAUAUAAUGUUGAAGUCUAAUAAGUUUAAAUAACCAUUUCGAUCCCAUUAAGAUUCAAAAUAAGCACACAGAUUCUAGGAUUGGCAUUCUCAAACAAGUCAUCAACGGGAGUACGUUAGUAAAUCUCACAUUGAAUUACAAUGAAUUAAUAUUCAAUGUAUUAUUAAAGACAAUAUUUAAAUGAUAUAUGUGGUAUUAUCUAAUAGCUCUUCAAGUGGUCCAACAUCAGGUUCAUGAGGUCGGAAGUAUGAGACUUGUCAACAUGUAAGUGUCCAUGUCAACAAGUUAUCCAGAAAGAGAUUUUUUUUUUCCAAAUAC
rnacentral:lncRNA from 1 species